CCCUCAGCAGCAGGCCGGGACAUUGCUGGUGGGUUCCAGGCACCGUGACAGGGAGUGGGCAGGGGGCUGCCCUGGGUGGACUCUGACGAGUGCAGUACCCUCCUGGUGAGGGGUGUCCAAGUUUGCGGCAGGUUCUUGUUCCCAGCUGCUCCUUCACGUUUCCAGCAGCCUGGAAGGGGCCAGACAGCACUCCUCGCCCCAUGGGUGGGCAGGCUGGGCAGCCUCUGAGCCACCCCCCUCCACAGGCACCGCCCUGCAGUGCUACUCCUGCACAGCCCAGGUGAAGAACCAGGACUGCCAGAACGUGCAGAACUGCACCAGCUCCGAGACCCAGUGCCGGACUGAGUACAUCCGUGCUGUUGGCCUCCUGACCGUCAUCAGCAAGGGGUGCAGCUCGGCCUGUGUGGAUGACUCACAGAACUACUAUGCAGGCGAGAAGAAUGUCACGUGCUGCUCCACUGACCUCUGCAACGCCAGCGGGGCCCACGUCCUGCGGCCAGCUGCCAUUAGCCUGGUGCUGCUCACUGCUCUUGGCAGCUUGCUGCUCUGGGGCCCUAGCCAGCUGUAGGAUCCAGGAGGACCCCACCGUGUCCCAUGCUGAGCAGUGGUGCUCAGGGUCCCAGGGGCACUCCUCACACACACCUGCCCAGUCGAGGCCCCUCCUGGACCCUAACUCAGUUCAGACCAUGCCCCUCUGCCCUUUCCAGCCAUCCCUGGCUCCCUCCAGGCCUGCCCAGCACGCUGGGUUCUAGUGAUGCGGAACAGCCUGCGGAUGGCCUGUUCCUCACCUGGGCCUCAGGCUGCUCCUGUUUCCACUGCCUAUCUGACCUAUCCCAUAACCCUUGCUUAGGCCCCUCUUCCUCCAGGAAGCCUUCCCUGCCUGCCCCUUCCAUGAGCUGAGCCAGGUCCCACCCACAGUAUCCCCUGCACCCAGCAUGAAGCAGGCACUCAGGAGGGUCCACAAAGGCUGAGAUGAAACAUACGGGGUAGAGUUGGGGGCAAGGCGUGUAAGAUCCCAGGAGUCCCAAGAGAUGAGGUCUGGAGGGGGUACAGUUCCCCAUGUUCAUGGGGUCCAGAGGCAACACCCCAGCGCACAGAUGGCCCUUAAUAAAGGCCCACUGGCUUAGCUGCAGACAGCUUCUGUCCUUGUGCACUCCCAGGCUGAGGUCAGAGUUGGGGUCCAAGUCUGCGUCGAGUCACCACCUAGCCCACGCCUGUGGCUGUGGCUGUGCCCUUGGCCACGUGGAGUGGAGCUCCAGCGUGGACAGGAGCAAACGACUGACACCUGGAAGAGCACACAUUGCUGCAGAAGCCAGGGCAGUGUCCCUGGGGACUCCUGGCUCCUGCUGUGUGUCCUCAAAUAGGUUGUUCAACUUCUCUGAGCCUCAGAUGCUCAUCUGCAACCCCUCUCUGCUGUGAGGAUUGACCCAGAGACUUCACGAGAUGGAGAAGUUUCUGUGGGGGAGGGGGCUGCUACCGUGUGAGGCCCCCACAGUGUCCCCACCCUGUCCUCUCUCUUUACCCUUAGGAGAAUCCCUCUGUUUGUUUCUUACAUUUUUAAUUUUGUUUGUUGUACAUGCUCCACACCCACAG
ensembl:lncRNA